GGUCCAGUAGCUCAGCUGGAUAGAGCAACGGCCUUCUAAGCCGUAGGCCACAGGUUCGAAUCCUGUCUGGAUCA
rnacentral:tRNA from 1 species